CUCAAGGAAGCGCUUUGCCUAAGUGGACAGAAAGCGCACCUUCAAGGAAGCAUUUUUUGUCCACGUAGGCAAAGCGCUUCCUUGAGG
rfam:Gossypium hirsutum cultivar TM-1 unplaced genomic scaffold scaffold2114.1, whole genome shotgun sequence